CCUACGGGUGGCUGCAGUGGGGAAUAUUGGACAAUGGGCGAAAGCCUGAUCCAGCCAUGCCGCGUGUGUGAAGAAGGCCUUCGGGUUGUAAAGCACUUUCAGUGGGGAAGAAAGCCUUGGGGCUAAUACCCUCGAGGAAGGACAUCACCCACAGAAGAAGCACCGGCUAACUCCGUGCCAGCAGCCGCGGUAAUACGGAGGGUGCGAGCGUUAAUCGGAAUUACUGGGCGUAAAGCGCGCGUAGGCGGUCUGAUAAGCCGGUUGUGAAAGCCCCGGGCUCAACCUGGGAACGGCAUCCGGAACUGUCAGGCUAGAGUGCAGGAGAGGAAGGUAGAAUUCCCGGUGUAGCGGUGAAAGGCGUAGAGAUCGGGAGGAAUACCAGUGGCGAAGGCGGCCUUCUGGACUGACACUGACGCUGAGGUGCGAAAGCGUGGGUAGCAAACAGGAUUAGAUACCCGUGUAGUC
rnacentral:rRNA from 1 species